rnacentral:lncRNA from 1 species
AUGACUAAAGCUAUCCCAAAUACCAGCAAUCCUGUCUGGAAUGAAAUGUUCCACUUUAUUAUCCAACCUCAAGUCAAGGCUCCUGAGAUUUCUUGUGUGGAAGGUCAGAUAGAAAAAGAAAAGAAUGCAGAGUGUUUGAAAAGGGAGUCUGAGCCUUUACUUUGUUAAGCAGGCAGCCAAGUCUGCCCACUGCAUUCAGCUUCUAAAAUUUAAAUUAAAAUCUCAAAGGCCUAACAGCACAUCAAAUUGCAGGAUUCCUUCCAAAUUUCCAUUGUGGUGAAAGCUGACAGCUAUAUCAUGCAAAACUCCAACCUCUGUUUCUCGGCAUAUACCAAGACAAAGCAUCAUGGAAAAAUUCCUUCAGAUAGUCUGUCUGACAUUAUUUUGGCUUGACACUGAUUUUGUAUUAGCUAAAUGAAUAGUUUAUCCAAAGAAACUAUUGGCAGGGACAUUUUACAGAAAUAUCUCCGGUAAAAGAGCAUAAUGAUGGGGAACACUGAUUUUAAAAGCAUGGUUUCAAAAUACCCGGAGCCAGGUUUUCUUUUCAUAUAUUUACAAAGGCACCCUGAAAAACUAUUGAAACAGCUUUAUUUCUGGACACUUUAAAAACCUGUUCACAAUCCAAGUUCAGGAACUCCAUUUUUGUGUGUGUGUGUGUGUGUGUGUGUGUGUACAUAUGCAUGCAUGUGCACUGUACCCAUACAACAUGCAUAACCCAUUGGAAAAUGGUAAUCUGUUCUUUCCUAUUAUCUCUCCUGUGACUGCAGUAAAAUAGU